CUUCAAGCUACAGGAGUGUUGGAGUAUCUCAGAGGUGGGCUUUCUCAGCUGCCCAGGACUCAGUGCACCUAGUGCACCCAGCCCACCUCAGACCAGGGCCCCACCCUGUGGAUCGGAGCUCCCACCUGCUCCCUGAACCAAAGCGCCUAGAUGAGAGAAGGAGCCAAUUAGUCCAAACUGCAGACUUCACACUGCCACCAUGGAGGCUGGCUUUAUGGGCUCAGAGCACUGCACUUGACAACCUCCCUUCCCCUUGACUGUCUUUAAGCACACAAUAGGAGUGGUUUGAGCACCAGGCAGUAAGCACACAUUUAAGCAGUGUCAUUAAGUGUUAGGGGUCUGAUUGCCCCUCAGAUCUGUUUAGUGAGUGCUUUACAGAGCUAGCUCAGACAAGAACACUCUUGGGGAAUUUCAGGGAAUUGGGCUGGGCCCCAAACUCAACCUGAAACCUCAGGGAGGGUGUUCCACCUCUCUCUGGCCACAAAGUAGGGUUAUGGAUGGAAUGUUUCUGUCCCCCUAAAUUCGUAUGUUGAAGUCCUCACCUGUAGUGUGCCUGUACUGGAGAUAGGCUUUCUCAGGAAGUGAAUAGGUUACAUGAGGUCAUAAGGUGGGGCCCUGAUCUGACAGGAUUAGUGUCCUGUGAGAGCUGCCUCUCUGCCUGCCCAUAUGGGGAGAGCCAGCGAGGAGGCUGACUCCCCUGAAGACACCAGCCUGGCCACAUCCUGACUUCAGGCUUCCCACCUCCAGAGUCAUGGGAGAUAAAUGUCCCAGCUGCUCUGUCUGUGGCCCCUGUUAUGACAGCCCAAGCUGAUUAGUACAGAGAAGAGGCAAUGCUUCUGACCAAAGAUUCUAGAGCUCUCAUGGGACCGGGCUUCAUGGCCCAUUGCAGGAGAGCCAGCAUAAGAGUUGCCUUGAGCCAAGGAGAGCAACCCCUUCCACCUAGCUUGGGGAGGGGUCUACACAAUCCUGGGUGCUAAGAAGUCAUGCUGGUCACUGAAUUGUCAUAGCUGCCCCCUCACCCUCAGGCCACAUGGGGCCAGCCUACAGGACAAGUUCAGCAGGACUGCUGGAAGUCCACCCCAGGAGAUGGUGAGGCAGAUGAGACCUAGGUUGGAGGUGGGAGGGAGGCAUACAUGUCCCCAGUCCACAAAGGAAGCUGGAGCAGACAGUGGUAGCCUUGUCCAGGGGUGCUGUGAUCCUGGGCAGGCUCUUGUGUGCCUCGGAGGCUUAAUGCCAACACUAUAAAUGUCAGAGAUGGAAGAGAGUAUGGUACCAUUGCCUUCAGCUUGUCAGCGGGAAAGGAAGUGACCAGAGAACAACCUUACCACACUGUGAUCGUGGAGCCAACUUUUGGCCACAUGACACUCUGGCCACUGUCCUUCUUUUGGGGGGUCAGAGGGGCGAUGGGAGACCAGAGGCCAAACUCAGAACAUGUGUGGUGGGCAGGCUGGCAUAGGGCAGGAUAGGAAUAAGGUUGCAGGGCUAGGUUUUGGCUCCUGAGGGCCACGGCUGGCAGAUGUGAGGCAGAGCGAAGGUAUGUACUUCUGUGCACAGUAGCUGUCAGCCUCCAGACCCAGCUGAGCCUCAGCCAACUGCUUCUUACACCUUGGCGAUGGGAGACACCCUCAGGACAACCGGUCCCAGGAACAAGGGUGAUGCAGAAUCAUUGAGAGAGGAAGACGAAGGGUGCAUACCUGGCUGUACCCUCCACCGGCUGAUCCUCAAUCAAGAGGAGCCACAGAUGGGACCCUUGAAGCCUUUGUCAAAAGUGCCACUUACUUGUGAGUAAGUCUCACUCACAAAGACCCUGUGAGUUUCAAUCUCCCCAUCCCUUGGAGGUCUCCGGAUGGUGUGCACCUGCCAUUGGGCCAGCAGGAGACAGGAAGCAAGGUGCCUGGCCUGCACACAAGCUGUUCUACCUGCACCACCACAGCCCUGAACCCUGUCUUGCUGGCCAGUGUCCCCACCCAUAGCAGCUGUCUUUAUCUGCAGCAGGUCCACCGAAGCCUUAAGAUGUUACUGUUCUGACAUGUCUUGGGAAAGGCAGGGGCUUCAGCAGGAGGAGCUGGGCAUGCUUGGGCUCCAUGGUCAGGCGCCUCCUUUGGACCUGGCUGUUUAGGAGGCCACCUGUCACCAAAGCAUCAUACUUCCUGCAUUCAUUCACGCAUUCAUUCCUGAGCAGACCCUGACCAGUGAGAAGAGGCCUCAGGUGGGCAGGGCCAUCAGGAGACAGUCGAGUCAGGACAGGUGGAGCUGAGGUGGAGGUGCGCUGGCCAGGAAGAGCACUGAAUCUUGGGGUUACCCUGAAACCCCAAAGCCAGGGCAGGGAUCUGACCCUCAGCAUCUUCUCUCUGUCUGUCUCCCCCACCCCACCCCUCUGCCUUCUUCUGGUUCUCCUUACUCCCCAGAGCUCCUCUCCCAAGGCCUCUGUGGGGAUUGAAUUAUGUGCAUGUUCACCCCAGGAACUUGCACCUUCCCCUUAUUUGCCAAAAAGAGUAGAAUUAUUUUAUUUGGCGAAAGAUGUGAUUAAGUCAUGGAUGUUUUCAGGACAUUGUCCUGGAUCAUCUGGGUGGACCCUAAAUGCCAUAACACGGAUGCUUAAAACAAGAGGGCAGAGGCGAUUUUGAGACACAGAGAGAGAGAGACUAAGAGGAGAGAUGAGGAGGAGGAAGGGGUAGGAGGAAGAGGACAGAGGGAGAUGCGAACGCAGCUGCAGAGGGCCAGCUGGACCCUGGCUGGAGGGGGCGAGGCCUGUCCUCCCCUAAGCUGGCAAGUAGUAAAUGUGAGGUAGUAAAUGCCUGUGCUUGAAGCCCCUGACUUGUGCUGUUUUGUGCUAACAGUCACAGGAAACUAGUGGAGUCUCAGAUACCAAGGUAUAGGCAGAGCCAGAAGCUCUGGAAAAAUGGCAUGGGACCUUCUUCACCUUUCUAGAGGCAGAGGGCACUGAGCUAGGAGAUGUUAUGGCUCAAGCACUAGGCAGUGAUCAGUUGACCUCUGGUGGGGAGGGGAUGGAUUUCUAUCAGGAAUCAGCAUCAGCCUCUGGGCUGAGAGCACAAAGGAACUAAGCAAUGGCACAGACAUCCUGAUCCAGGCCCCAAGACCCUAAAACCCUAAGUGGGGCAUUCAGCAGCUCAUUAAGAUUGCUCAGGAGUAGGGGACAGGGCUAGAGGUGGUGAAAAUCUAAGGUUUCCUAGCCUUGCAGGCCAGAGAUGUGGAUGGAGAUAUAAUGAACAUGGAGAUAGAAAAAAGUAGGACCAGAGUGUCUCCUACAAUGGGGUGCAGCCUGCCCAGGACCUAGGCUGCUCCAUUAGCAGCCCGGCAUUUUGGUUUACUUGCAUCUGUUUCACAGGAGCCCAGGACAGUUGGGGCAUGCAUUGAUGAAGGUGAUGAUGCUGGUGAUGACAGCGGUUGUUCGGUGAUGAUAAAGGCAGUGGUACU
ensembl:lncRNA